UUCAUUAUAUAAUAUAAUACCUAUACCAAUAAAAUGUGUUGAAGACGGAGUUGACUCAUGGUAUAUUUCCACAAAUACAUAUACUUACGUUGCAAUAACUAAGGAUAGAAAACAAUUUACUACCUACACGGAAAAGAGAUAAAGGAUUGCAUUGAAACAGCAAUAUGCAGAAUAUGCAAGGCUACACAGCCAAUGUUAGAUAACAAUGAUAAUACACCAUGUGGAAUGCAAAUAUUUAAAACACCGGAUGCAUUACAAACGGGAUGUAGUAGCAACAAAUUUCCAUUAGUUAGAAACAUUUACCACAGAAUUCUUAAUAAAAACACAUGGAUACAUGCUGGAGAUGAUACUUUAACAAUAAGUUGCACAGAUUUACCCGAAUCGUUCGUUCAAGAAGUUAAGGUUUCAGGUGCAAUAACUAUAUUAGACAUAAAUUGUCAAGUAUUCACACGUGACGCAGUGUUGACUCCUAUAGAGGAUAUUUCGAGUACAAAUUAUAAAGAUUUUGUACCUAAUACUAAAAUACAGAAUAUAUUUAAUAAAAUACCUGAACAUAUACAUAAAUAUAAAUUGAGCGAUGUAUGGAAUAAUACAACAAAAAUACAAUUAACAGAUCUGCAUAGUGUGUCAAGGUCACUUGAUGAGAUUCAGCAAAUGAUAGACGAGGAAGUUAUUAGAGAACAAAGUCAAAAACACCAGUUCAUACAUUCGAAUCUUUUGUAUGUUACAAUAAUUUUGGCUAUACUAAUGUGGUGAUAGUGGCUUUUGUUGGCACACUAUCAGCCAAUAACUUACGAGCUUCGAUCGGAGCUCGAAGUAAGAAAAGGUAAUUACUACAAACAACAACAAGCUUGACAAAUAAAACUUUUUAUUUGUAGAGAAACAACGAGGGUAAACGUAUUUUAUAAUAAAAUAAAUAAAUACAGCGGUAUGAAAGGGUAUUGAUGCUCGCGGAGACAAAAAUAUACGCGCGGCGUGAUUUUUGCGUUGUCGUGGAAAAAACAAAGUUCACAGUUCGGAUGUCGACAAAAGAGUGCCAAAACGGGAACCGCGAAUUCCGCGUAACGGCCGUAACGAACCGAGAAUCGCGGACGGUCGCUCGUACGGGCUGGCGGGGGGAAACGCGAGAUCGCGCGUCGCUAAAAUGCACAUACAUAGAUAUAACACACAAGACACAUAAUACAAUAAUAUAAUAAUACAAUAAUACGAUAAUAUAAUAAUACAAUAAUUGUGCGCUAACGCGGCGACGAUGUAGUACGCACUACACUGCGUCCGCGGUGUAGUGGUGAUAACCGUAUCACCACAUUACUCCCCCUCGGCGAAAAGAAAAAAAUUUCAAACGGAAUUACGCGCGUAGGAAUGGUCGGCGAUCGGGUCUUCACGCGGGAUGAAGCUGGUUUGAGACGGUCGAUGGAAAUCCAGGCUGUCGAAUUGUCGCGUUGUACCUUGAAAGUUUUUUCGCGGCGUUCCAAAACGGCGAAAGGUCCCUCGUAGCGCGGUUGGAGCGGCGGCCUGACAGCGUCGAUUCUUAUGAAGAUGUGGCUUACUUGGUUCAGGUCGGCGGGCACGAACGUAGCACGUCGUGCGUCGUGGUUCGUACCAGGUGUAUAGCGCAGUUGGCUCAUUGAUUUGCGAAGCGAUGCCACCAGGUCGGGAACCCGCGGUUCGGGCGGCGCGUGGUGGAAAAAAAUUUGGAACACUGAUAAGUGAUAUUAUUGUUAUCAAACAUUAAGUCAUCAUUUGAGUAUGAAAUAACCAAAACUCAUGAUAGUGUCGUUGAAUUAAGAUGUAAUGCCAAAUCAAUAGAUGAAAUAAAUACUUGGGUUGAUGAGUUUGGAAAGUUAAAUAAUACCCAUUGGAACUUCCGAUCUAGUGUUCCAAACGGAACAAGAAUAGUGUGUUCAUAAACUACAUUGUCAACGGGUCAAUGCUUUGAAUGUUUGAAGAAUUUAGUUUAAUGGAAACAAAA